UACGUAGGGUGCAAGCGUUGUCCGGAAUUAUUGGGCGUAAAGAGCUCGUAGGCGGUUUGUCGCGUCUGCUGUGAAAACCCGAGGCUCAACCUCGGGCCUGCAGUGGGUACGGGCAGACUAGAGUGCGGUAGGGGAGAUUGGAAUUCCUGGUGUAGCGGUGGAAUGCGCAGAUAUCAGGAGGAACACCGGCGGCGAAGGCGGAUCUCUGGGCCUUACCUGACGCUGAGGAGCGAAAGCAUGGGGAGCAAACAGG
rnacentral:rRNA from 1 species